rnacentral:lncRNA from 1 species
ACCAGGCCAGUCCUUCUCACUUUAUUGCACUCGAGCACACCCAUUUGCCAAGGCGGCCAUGUAUGUACACCAUUAUUUUACAAUGAUCUGACGACAGCACCAGGGCACCGGGGCACACCCCUGCUCCCAGCCCAGCACCUUCCCUCCUCUGCCAGGCUGCAGCGAGUCACCGUUUUGGGUGCCACCACCCUCCCCAUGCUUAGGUGUGGCAGCGCUGUCACCCAGCACGCCUCUCCAGAGCCCUAGGGAAGGUGAUGGGAUGAGACAAAGGAGGCUUGUCCUGCUGUGGGGGGCUUUACUUUCGCAGCAGGGGCACCGCUGCCCACCCGUCGAUGCCUCCCACCACAGCCACAGCACGCGAACCUGGGGCUCAGAGCUGGCCUCUGUGUGGCACCAGGGCAGCAGGGACAGGGGCAGAUGUUGCCACUGGGGUAACUGCGCCAAGCGGGGGUGACACUAACCACAUGUGGCCAGCAAUGCCCCGCUCCUGGGCGCCCCAUCUGAGGUAGAGCAUCCUUACCUGUAGCAGCACCACUGCCCUCAGCAUCCACCUGGCCAUGGAGGCCAGGAGAGGGGUGCAGCUCCCACCCUGUGCGGCUGCUGGCACCAACACCAGCACCCUGCCACAGGGCUGGCCCACACCCCAGAGCCCCAAGCAAUAGCAGCAGGCAAGCACAAGUGCUGCAGCUCACCGCUAAACCCUGCUGCAGCAAAACAAUUUAAAUCAGCAUGCAAAGGACCAGUCGGGCUCUGGUUUGGUUCACACCCCUGACACCGAGCACUGUCUGGGCUUUACAGAGGACAUGAAGAGGGAGAGGAGUGGUGACACGUGCUGGGGGAAGGGAGGGAGCAGAAGGAGCUGGGAGCCAGGAGGAGAGCCCACACUCCUGGUCAGCUCAGGGGAGCACUGCCAGGAAUGGGGCACAGCAUUGGCAAAGCCCGAGGGAGCUGGUCUGACGGCCAACGUCUUGAAUGCACCAGUUCAAGCAAGCCAAAUGGAACAAGGCAGGAGUGGAAGGAGUGGAAAGCAAGUCCUGGCGCAGGGGCGUGCACGGCCCCACGCAUCUUCUGCAGAGAGGGAGGGGAAGCAGCUUUCCUUCAGCCCCUGGUACCUGCCAACACAGCCACACUCAGCCUCGCCUCGUGCUCGGAGAUGUCCCACCUGAUGGCACUUACUAUCAUGCCCCACGCCACCCCACAUCUGGAGAGUCACUCACCCUUUGAGGUUGGUAGCUAUCCGCACGUUGGUCAUCUUCCAGCCCACGCCUGCAAGGAAAGGGAGGACAACCAGCCCCUGCCCAGGCAAGGAUGGGCACCGGAGCCAAGGGCAGCUCAUCACCCUUUAAGCAGGGCUCCAAGGCACAUAGGGAAACAGUCAGGAGGGCAAGGCUGGGGGUAGUUCUCCUCCUUUUGCAAGCCCACAAAUGGUGAAGGGCCACGGGAAUUGUGUGGGAAUACCCCUUUACCUUCCAUGUCAGUCACAAGGAUGUUUCCAUUCGUCCACUGGUAUACCCAGUGCUGGAAGGCACAGCAUUUGAGCACAAUCUCCGAGGUGCCUCGUGCCACCAAGCUGCCAUCUCUCUCGGUGACACAGUACUGCUCACAGGGCCCACCCAGGUCCUCCUCCAUCGUGGCGUAAGGGAUGUUGUUGGCCGGUCGGUAAAUCAGGUACAGAGGAAUUAUCCUGUGUGGUAACACACAGCUCAGCAAAUGGAGAUCCACACAUCAGUCUCUGGCUUUUGCCUUCCCCCCAAAUCUCUCCUGUUUGAGGGUAGGAGAAGAAGUUGCUGCCCUCUGGUAUGUCCCCAGUGCCCCAUGGAGAACCCUCCCACCGUCUCCCAAGGAGCUCUGCCCCACCGUCAAGCCCAAGGGGCUGCAGCACCCUACUUACUCAGGCACUGCUCCAAAAUCAGGGACGGCUCGUGCCUCAGCAGCAAAGAUCUUGCAGUACUCACGGCUAGAGUUCUGGAUUUUACAUUCCUGGAGAUUCAAGCAGGAGAGUCAGGGCACUGUCCCUCCUUGUGCCAACCAGCCUGCAACAA